rnacentral:rRNA from 1 species
AUUGAACGCUAGCGGCAGGCCUAACACAUGCAAGUCGAGCGAGCGGCGGACGGGUGAGUAAUGUAUGGGGACUGCCCGCUAGAGGGGGAUAACUACUGGAAACGGUGGCUAAUAACGCAUACUAUCGAAUAACCCAUAUGGGAUUAGCUAGUAGGUGGGGUAAAGGAUCACCUAGGCGACGAUCUCUAGCUGGUCUGAGAGGCUAAUCAGCCACACUGGGACGGAGACACGGCCCAGACUCCUACGGAGGCAGCAGUGGGGAAGAUUGCACAAUGGGCGCAAGCCUGAUGCAGCCAUGCCGCGUGUAUGAAGAAGGCCGUAGGGUUGUAAAGUACUUUCAGCGGGGAGGCGUUACCCGCAGAAGAAGCACCGGCUAACUCCGUGCCAGCAGCCGCGGUAAUAC